ACUCAAAUGAAUUGACGGGGACCCGCACAAGCGGUGGAGCGUGCUGUUUAAUACGUCGAUAAGCGUAGAACCUUACCAGGGAUUGACAUCUCGAGAAGGUCUCCGAAAGGAGACUGUGCCUUCGGGAACUCGAUGACAGGUGUUGCAUGGCCGUCGUCAGCUCGUGUCGUGAGAUGUUUGGUUAAGUCCAUUAACGAGCGCAACCCUUGUAGUUAGUUGAAUUUUUCUAGCUAGACUGCCUCGGCAACGGGGAGGAAGGAGGGGAUGAUGUCAGGUCAGUAUUACCCUUACGUCCUGGGCUACAAGCACGCUACAAUGGCCGGUACAGAGGGCAGCGAAGUCGCGAGACGGAGCAAAUCCCAUCAAAGCCGGUCUCAGUUCGGAUUGCAGGCUGAAACUCGCCUGCAUGAAGCCGGAAUCGCUAGUAACGGUAGGGCAGCCUUACUACCGUGAAUACGUUCUCGGGUCUUGUACACACCGCCCGU
rnacentral:rRNA from 1 species